AUUGAACGCUGGCGGCAGGCCUAACACAUGAAAGUCGAGCGGAGCGGCGGACGGGUGAGUAAUGCCUAGGAAUCUGCAUGGGAGGGGGGGAUAACGUCCGGAAAAGGGCGCUAAUACCGCAUACUAUCAGAUGAGCCUCGGAAUGAUUAGCUAGUUGGUGGGGUAAAGGCCUACCAAGGCGACGAUCCGUAACUGGUCUGAGAGGAUGAUCAGUCACGCGUGAACUGAGACACGGUCCAUACUCCGACGGGAGGCAGCAGUGGGGAAUAUUGGACAAUGGGCGAAAGCCUGAGCCAGCCAUGCCGCGUGUGUGAAGAAGGUCUUCGGAUUGUAAAGCACUUUAAGUUGGGAGGCGUUACCAACAGAAUAAGCACCGGCUAACUCCGUGCCAGCAGCCGCGGUAAUAC
rnacentral:rRNA from 1 species